rnacentral:rRNA from 1 species
UAUUGCACAAUGGGCGAAAGCCUGAUGCAGCAACGCCGCGUGAGCGAUGAAGGCCUUCGGGUCGUAAAGCCCUGUCCUCAAGGAAGAGAACGACGGUACUUGAGGAGGAAGCCCCGGCUAACUACGUGCCAGCAGCCGCGGUAAUACGUAGGGGGCUAGCGGUAUCAGGAAUUACUGGGCGUAAAGGGUGCGUAGGUGGUUUCUUAAGUCAGAGGUGAAAGGCUACGGCUCAACCGUAGUAAGCCUUUGAAACUGGGGAACUUGAGUGCAGGAGAGGAGAGUGAAAUUCCUAGUGUAGCGGUGAAAUGCGUAGAUAUUAGGAGGAACACCAGUUGCGAAGGCGGCUCGCUGGACUGUAACUGACACUGAGGCACGAAAGCGUGGGGAGCAAACA